CGUGCGUAUGUAUCGUGUGUGUGUGUGUGUGUGUGUGUGUGCGCGUGCGCGUGCAUGCACAGGCGCACGUCCA
rnacentral:pre_miRNA from 1 species